GUGACGUGUUGGCAUAAGGAGAACAUGAGCUGAAAUAUCCCUGAAUUUUUAGAACAAAAAGGUUGAAGUUCAAGUUAUACUUGCUAAGAAAUCAAGUAUUGGAAAAAGAUUAAAAGACCAGAAUUAUGCUCUUUUGGAUGGUAUAACUUUCAUGUAUCAAAAACAGAACACUACAGUGGCUUCAACAAUUAGGAAGAGAAAAAGUUAAAUAAAAGAAAAGCAUUGCUUCAAAAAUAUUUCUGGAAAGACAGGCAAUGGCACCCGACUCCAGUACUCUUGCCUGGAGAAUCCCACGAACGGAGGAGCCUGGU